CCCGUUCUCUUCUCUUUUCCUUUCUCUUUUCUUUCUUCUUUUUCUUCCUCUUUUCUUCUCCGCUCCACGGCCGCCGCCUCUAUCUUCUUCUUCCCGUCCCGCCGCAGCCAACCGCAGCCCAGCCGCAACCACACCUCUAUCUUCUUCUUCCCGUCCCGCAGCUAGCCGCCGAUCCUUUCUUUCCAUUUUCUUCUUCCGUCCGCAGCCCCACCGCGAAGCAAGACUGCGCCGCUGCCAGUCCAGAUCUGCGGCGCCGUUGCUCUUCCGUCGCUGCAACCGUCGGCCGCCAUCUCUGUUCGCGAAGCAAGGCCGCCGCGUGAACCUGUAACCGCCGGCUGUCUCCCCUCUCCUUUCUCCUCUGUUUUCAGCCCAGCCGCCGCCGAUUUCUUCUCCUCCGUCGUCUGCACUGCCGCGCGACUCUCCGGCCAUCUGUAUACGGUCUCUCCGCCGCACGUCAUCUCUUCGCAAAGCCACUACUCGAUUUCUUUCGCGAAGAUUUGGGUUCGUUCUUCAUAGACUUCAACGUGGUUAAGGAGCUUAACAAAUUUGAAGGCAAAGGUAAUAAAGGCGGCAAACCGGCGAGGGGCAGGAAGGAAGCGUGAUGCCAUAGGAA